UCAUCUGUCCUUCAAAAUUUAAAAGUUAAUGAGAUGUCUAAAAUUUAAUGAAAAUUACAUUGAAAGGUUAUGUCACAUAGAUAUACAGACACAGUUCCCUCUAACAAAAGCGUGUUAAUAAUAAUUGUUAUUUACAUUCUGAGUACUGCUUAGCAUUUUCGUAACAUGAAACCCAUGUUCACGUUGUGAAAGUAGACCAGUAUAUGAAUACCGGUAAAUUGUUCGAAAGAAAUCGGUAAUGUUCAAUUCAUUCAUUUCAAUCAUUCAUUCAUCAAUUCAAUCAUGUUCGAAAGGAGGAUCACAACCUUGAACGGCUGAUGGUGACGGGCAAGAUACAGGCCCAACGUCUCAGAGGACGCCGUCCCACGAGAUGGUCGGACCAAAUUCGGUCUUGUCGGGAUAUCAAGCUCCACGAUGCCCUCCACGAGGCCAAGGAUCGCAGCAGAUGGAGGACGAUCUGUUAUACGGAGGAAAUCGCCGGACUUCCGCCUUCCACUGAGGUUUCACGCCUUCCACUCAUUCGGACGCCGGACCGGCGGUCGUCGGCGCCACGACCACCAGCCCUCUCAGUCGGCAGGCUAUGCGAAUAUAACACAAUCCGAACCCGCUUAUAACACAGUUUGAUUUGAAAAUUGUCAAUUUCAUUUAUCAGUACUUUCAAACAAUAAUUUAGUUUUUUUUAAGUACAACUAACUGAAAAUACAUAUUUAUUAUUUUUAUGACAA